rnacentral:rRNA from 1 species
UGCGGAAGAGGCAAGCGUUAUCCGGAAUUAUUGGGCGUAAAGCGUCCGCAGGCGGCCUUGCAAGUCUGCUGUCAAAGAGUGAAGCUCAACUCCUUUUAAGCGAUGGAAACUGGAAAGCUAGAGUGUGGUAGGGGUUGAGGGAAUUCCCGGUGUAGCGGUGAAAUGCGUAGAUAUCGGGAAGAACACCAGUGGCGAAGGCGCUCUGCUGGGCCGUAACUGACGCUGAUGGACGAAAGCUAGGGG